rnacentral:rRNA from 1 species
UGGGGAAUAUUGCACAAUGGGGGAAACCCUGAUGCAGCGACGCCGCGUGAGCGAAGAAGGCUUUCGAGUCUUAAAGCUCUGUCCUAUGAGAAGAUAAUGACGGUAUCAUAGGAGGAAGCCCUGGCUAAAUACGUGCCAGCAGCCGCGGUAAUACGUAUGGGGCGAGCGUUGUCCGGAAUUAUUGGGCGUAAAGGGUACGUAGGCGGUUUUUUAAGUCAGGUGUCAAAGCGUGGGGCUUAACACCAUUAAGCACUUGAAACUGAAAGACUUGAGUGAAGGAGAGGAAAGUGGAAUUCCUAGUGUAGCGGUGAAAUGCGUAGAUAUCACACAGAACGCCGAUUGCGCAGGCAGCGUACUACGUUACAACUGACACUGAAGCACGAAAGCGUGGGUAUCAAACAGG